UACGUAGGGUGCAAGCGUUGUCCGGAAUUAUUGGGCGUAAAGAGCUCGUAGGCGGUCUGUCGCGUCUGCUGUGAAAACUCAGGGCUUAACCCUGAGCUUGCAGUGGGUACGGGCAGACUAGAGUGCGGUAGGGGAGACUGGAAUUCCUGGUGUAGCGGUGAAAUGCGCAGAUAUCAGGAGGAACACCGGUGGCGAAGGCGGGUCUCUGGGCCGUAACUGACGCUGGAGGAGCGGAAAGCAUGGGGGAGCGAACAGGA
rnacentral:rRNA from 1 species